rnacentral:rRNA from 1 species
GACGAACCGUGCGAACGUUGUUCGGAAUCACUGGGCAUAAAGGGCGCGUAGGCGGCUUAUCAAGUCAGGGGUGAAAUCCAGCAGCUCAACUAUCGAAGUGCCUUUGAUACUGAUGAGCUCGAGGGAGGUAGGGGUAUGCGGAACUUCCGGUGGAGCGGUGAAAUGCGUUGAUAUCGGAAGGAACGCCGGUGGCGAAAGCGGCGUACUGGACCUCUUCUGACGCUGAGGCGCGAAAGCCAGGGGAGCAAACGGG